rnacentral:rRNA from 1 species
AACGAACGCUGGCGGCAGGCUUAACACAUGCAAGUCGAACGAGCUGGGGGCUUCGGUCCCCGAUGCUAGUGGCGCACGGGUGAGUAACACGUGGGAAUAUGCCCUUUAGUACGGAAUAACCAAGGGAAACUUUGGCUAAUACCGUAUACGCCCUUCGGGGGAAAGAUUUAUCGCUAAAGGAUUAGCCCGCGUCUGAUUAGGUAGUUGGUGAGGUAAUGGCUCACCAAGCCGACGAUCAGUAGCUGGUCUGAGAGGAUGAUCAGCCACACGGGGACUGAGACCCGCCCCAAACUCCUACGGAGGGCGGAAGGGGGGAAAUUUGAAAAGGGGGGGCAACCCUAAUCCACCCGGGCCGGGGAGGUAAAAAAGGCCUGGGGGUUGAAAAGCUCUUUCGACGGGGACGAAGAUGCCGGAACCCGUAAAAGAAGCCCCGGCAAACUUGGU